ACUCAUUGAGGCGCUCCAUCAGUCGGUCCUGCUCCGCUCCCUCGACUAACACGAAAAAAACAGCUCCAAUCGGGGGCGCCUGAACAGGUGGCGCCGCCAAAGCCUCCUCCUGGGGCACGGCCACGGGCGCCGCACGCGACGAACUCGUCGCGGGGGACGGCGCUCUGGGCGCGACGUCUACAACUGGUGCUGGCGGUGUAGGGGCCUGGGUCUCCCUGGAAGCUGCCGCCUGCUGCAGAAGAAGGUCCUCCAGGCGCUUCAUCCGCGCCUCCUGUCGGCGCGCUGCCUCAGUCUGCUGUCGGGCCGCCUCUGCAUGCUGCAUCACCAAGUCGGUGAGAGUCGCCAGCUGGCUCCUCAGCUCACGGACCUCGCUGGAUCCGGAGGUAGCGGAGGUCUCGACCUCCUCCAGAUUUGCCGCGUUAUCCGUCCCGGCAGAUUGGGAGCGUGUGAUCGGCAUCGCACUACAACAUCAUAAAAGCGUAAGUUAGCAAACCUACGCUAUCGCAUCCCCGCUCAAUGAUAAUACCCAAAUCAGGCGAAAGUAAGGAAGUGUGCUUCACUACUAACUCCCGAUGUUACGUUGUCCGCCGCAAACGUAACCCUCCGCGAAGUUAGGAGCUAUACACUUCAAUUUAACUCUACUUUCUAGAGUUAUCCAAAAUACCCAAUCGAGAUACUUUCGCUUACAUGUCAAAUAGACCUCGUCUCUCACGAGCCUAUUUCCUAUGGUCCAACCGGCCUAAGGUUUGUUAGGUCCCCUAAGACUCAACCCUAGGCUCUGAUACCAAACUAAUCUGUCACGCCCCGGGACCCAGCGGAAGCCCGCCCGGCACGUGCACAGACUCGCCGUACGUCUAAGACAUACAAGGUGUUUAAAACAAAGCGGUAAACAAAGUAAUAAAAAGAAAGCAUCUAUGAGUAUCAGAGCAAAGUACUACGAAGUGCUACAACAAGGAGAAAAUCAUAAAACUAAUAAUCCACUAAGUAAAACAUAAGGUAAUACAAAAGGAGCCCCAAAGCAAAUACAAAUCUGAAUACAAGGUGGUCUCUCUAUACAUGGUGCCAAAACUCUCCCUCUCUCUAAACACAAACAAAAGAAGGAGUAACCACCUAUCGCAAAACGGAACCUUUCCCGAGCUAGCUACGCGACACUUUUGCCGCGAUCCCGUGCCUCCGCUGGUGCCGAAGGCUCUGAAAAGAAAAUAUAGAAACAGGGGCGUGAGAACUAUUGAAUAAUAGUUUCCAGUGGGCAAUUACUGACUUCAGUGAAAUGCACCACUAGGCCCAAACUACAACAAAAAAGGGGUCAGUGAACAAGUAUAAGCCAAAGCACUAAGAACAACUAGAAAAUAAAUAUGAAUACUAUUCAACCAUGAUAUCUCUACUUAGCAUAAUUUGCAUAAGUACGAAAGCAACUACUACAUGUAUGCACAAGAGUACCCAACAUGCAAAUGCAUAAGUAUGCAACUAACCCAAUAUCCACAAUGUAAAUAGUAAAGAUGUCAUUGUUUGCUAUUCUAGUCCAUGUCCACUUGUCACUUAAAUUAUUUCCAGUUCAACUUUGAUAAAACCCACCCGAAGGCUGUCUGGUAUAAGACCCACCCGAAGGCUGUCUGGCUUUACCGUGCCUAAUGGCCCCGUGGUAGUCAACAUCCCCACCCUAGGAAUGAGCCUUUCCUAUGGCAAUCUACUUUGGCACCCAAUCCCGCACGGCGAACAUAUCGCGAUGGCCAACUCCGGAGUGCCGACUUGUAGGGAGCGACCCUCACAAGCAUGUGCGAAUGAGCACAAUGGCAAGCAUGCAUAUCCGUGUGUCUCAAGUACCAAGUCCUCAUGUCUAAAACAUGGAAUAUGUGUCAACUGUGUCGAUGGCCUAUCACUAUGUCAUCAUGUCUAAAACAUGGAAUAUAGUCGAUGUCCAAUGGCCUAUCACUGCAUCUCAAGUAAUGUUUUCAUAGUUUACUAGUUUUAAGUGCCCCUUUAUGACACUAUCAAUCAACGAGUCCAAGCAUGGCAUUUAUGUUCAUGAAUACAUAAUUCUACUCAUUUCAAACAUAGGAGACAUGUUCUCAACUUACAAGGGUAACCACCUUUCACAAAGCAUGCAAUCUACACAUAUAGCCCUACUAUAUAGAGUGCGAGUUUCAUGAUAUAUAAGGCAUGCAUUUCAAGUGUUCUAAAAUUCACAUAAUUCAUAUUUAGCAUGGAUUUGCAUCCCAAAAUAUUUUACGAUAAGCAUAGAAAACUUAGGGGCCAUUUUGCACCGCAUUCAAGAAGCUAAACCCACCGAAGAUACCGAAACCCUUCGUAAGCUCCGACGAAGGUGUCGACUAGUCUCCUAGCACCCUAAAGAUGUAGGAACAAGGGUCAAACAAAUCUUACGAUCAACCCUAAGCUCAAUCAAUAAGCAACCUACGCUAAGGUGGAGAAAACUCACCUCAAGUGAAGGAAUGCUCACUCAAACUCCAAAUGGGGGCAAGAACCCCUCCAAUCCAACCUAAAGGAAGGUUCUAAACCAAUCAAUAAGGUUCCAAAGCCCUCAAAUCAAAAAGCCCCAAAAUAAACCCUAAAUCCCAAAAUCUAGGGUUUCAUUUAGUAAAACCCAGAAAAACUAGUAUUAAAUGGGGAUUACAAGCUACCAACCUCAAGAGAAGCUUCAAUCCAAGCUCAAAACCAAGUAGAGUGGGAGUUUGAUCCACCACAAGGCUCCAACCGCGAGCUCCAAGCCACCAAGGGUGAGAAAUAAGGAAGAAGAUGAGGCUCCAAGGCCUCCAAGCAAGCUCCUCUCCUCUCCUUCUCCUUCUUCUCCUUUUUUUCUCUCUCUAAAAAUGGGUGUGAAGGGGAGAAAUGAGGAGAGAAGAGAGUGAAAUGGCCAUAUAGACCAUCAAGUGCAACAAAAUCCAGAAAAGCCCCUCAAAAACUCAAAUUCACUUCAGCCCGGUCUGGGAAGUUUUCGCCAAGAGGGACCGCUCUCCCCGACUUGGGACCGGUCUCUCAGCCUGCCCCGAAAAUCCAACGUUCGGGAACCGGUCUCUCCCCGCACGGGACCGGUCUCUCCCCGCGUAGACGCGCUCGGGGACCGGUCUCGCCUGCCAGGGACCGGUUGCCUCGCCAGCUGCCGCAACACUGUGCUGAGGGGACCGGUCUCUCAUAUCGGGACCGGUCCCCGAUAGUGAAAACUCUCAGGACUUGCCAAAACUCUAGAGAUCGAACUUUUAGGCCAGAAUACCAUCGACGGCCCUCCACCAAGUGUGGAAAAGUUCGGAAUACAUACCAAACACUCGAACCUCGCAAUUUGCAAAGGUCCAGUGUGCUAGACUGGUCGACAUCUCUGGUGAGUGUAGGACUGAGUCGGAGUCAUUUCUGCACGAAAUGGAUGUGAAAAUGGACUCAGUGCACUCAAAUAAGCAAAACUGGAGUUUCGCCAGUUUAAGCCGCGCAGAACUCGGUUUAGGGCGCCCAGAUCUUGAGUGCUGGAUUGAGCAAAACUGGAAGCCAAUUCGGAUCCAAUGUUCCGGGCGCCCAGAAGUGGGUCCGAAAGUUCACUUUGUAAAUACCGAUCGUGUUGACGCGUGGCAGGUGGUAGGUGAGGUCCGUCGGACCAGGAUAAGGGUAUAUCACACCGGGUGCGGAGGAAUCGAAGGGGAGCAUUUGUGUAGGCUGGAAGCUCUGGGCGCCCAGAACUGGGUUUAGGGCGCCCAGAUCUCGGAUUUUUUGUAGGGACAGCAGAUUGCAGCAAUUGUUCCUGAGGGUUAUCUCACCACUCUAGUACCCUAUAAAUACCUGGUAUACAUCCCCUUUGAGCUCUUUUCACCUAUUCUUCACAGAUAUCCUCUAUCUUGCAUCCUAAUCUCUCCAAACUACUCCAUUUGCUUCAAAGUUUCACAACUCCAAGAUUUCAAGGUGCAGAUUCUGCAGUUUUCCAGCGACGACUUUCAGUGUUUUGGUUCGUGCGUGACAUAGGGAGGUCGGAUUGCGACGAAACUUGGUUUAAUGGAUUCUAGACUUCUAUAGAAAUCCACGAAGCCCUGAAUUAUAGAUUUUAGUUGAGGUUAGCUUGGUCGUUUACUUGUGUUUCUGGACUGCUAGCAACAUUGAGCUGAAAAUGAGAUUUUUGAGCUUUUCUUGAUGCUAUCUUUGUAGGCAGUGGGAUUUUGGACCUGAGACACAUUCUCCAUUAUUAUUCACUAGAUUUGAGACCUUUCUCACCUGAUUUGGAGGUAAUUAGGUGAGUUUUGACAUUGCAAUUGAGAUUAAAUUAAGCUUUAGUGCUGAAAUAGUGAUAAUUGAUGGAAUUCAAUGUGUAGAGCUUGGAGAUAGCUUGAUUUCUAGUCUUGGAGGAUUUUUGUUGAUCCAGCAGGGAUUAGCAUUGGUUUGGGACCCUUCUUUGCUGCCAGGAUUAGCAAUUAAGGUGGGUGUAUCAUCGGUUUUACUCCUAAGAACAUAUUAGUCGACGUGUAUGAUUGCGGUUCUUGUAUAUCAUGUUGUAUCUCAAAUUCAUCGAUUGUAUCAUGUAUGAAAUCUGAAUUGAGAGCAUGAUUAUUAAUUAGUUGAAUAUACAUGUUGGACUUGGAACUUGACUUAGGAGAAAACCAGCAUUUUGACCCGUCAUAUGAUUCUACUACAUGAUUUAGCUUUAAUUAGGAGCCGUGCUUCGAUGGUAUUAGCGCAGUAUCAGCGCGGUGGAUAUCCGGGGUAGUUUAGAAUGCAUUUAUGCUCUUGCUGGGAUACCGAGCUUAUUUUACAGUAGAGUCUAGGCUGUUCCGGGCUGUCGGGUGCAGUCGGGGUGGACGGUGGACCCAGAUUCUUAUUUUUGGUCUCAGAUUGUGCCGAGGGCAUGUGGGUUUGGUCUCUAGACCUAUUUUGUCACGCCCCGGGACCCAGCGGAAGCCCGCCCGGCGCGUGUCCAGACCCGCCAUACAUCUAAAACAUAUAAGGCGUUUAAAACAAAGCGAUAAAUGAGACAAUAAAAAAAAACGACUAGAAGUAUCAGAGCAAUAUACAACAUCUAGAAAUUAAAGCAAAGUGAAGAGUAGCGAGCUAAAAUCACUGAUAAACCAUAAAGUAGUACAACCAUAAGUCCGAAUACAAGAACUAAAAGAGUACAUAGGUGGUCUCUAUACAUAGUAAACAAAAUCUCUCACUCUUCCAAAAUACAAAGAGAGGGAACUACCUAAGAGCAGAAAGUAAAUCCUCGCUAUCUAGCUAGCGAUCCCCUUGCCGCGGUCCCGUGCCUCCGCCGGUGUAGAGGGUUCUGAAAAGAAAACAUAAAACAGAGGGCGUGAGAACUAUUAAAUAAUAGUUCCCAGUGGGCAAUUACUGACUUCAGUGAAAUGCACCACUAGGCCCAAAACUAGGCAAGUAAGGUAAGUAAAAUAUUAUGAACAAAUAAUUCACUAAAAUGAAAGCUCACUAUGGCAUGAUGUCGCUACUUUCAUCAGUAAUAAUCUACCACAUAAUCUCUACUUAGCAUGGAUUUGCAUAAGUAAUAACUAUCACAUGAUCUCUACUUAGUAUGAAUUUGCAUCAGUAAGAAAAAGCAACUACUACAAGCAUAUGCACAAGAGUAUCCAACAUGUAAAUGCAUGAGUAUGUAACUAACCCAAUGUUUACAAUGUAAAUAGUAAAGAUGUCAUUGUUUACUAUUCUAGUCAAUGUCCAAAAGGUACAAUAUGUCACCAGUAACCCAAUCCUGUGGAAUCUACCCGUAGGUAGUCCGGCCUGCGCCGUGCCAACAAUGGCCACGUGGUAGUCAACAUCCCCACUCUAGUAAUGAGCCUUCCCCAGGGCAUCCCAUUUUGGCGCCUAAUCCCGCACGGGCGAGCAUAUGUCGCGAUGGCUAUCUCCGGAGUGCCGACUUGUAGGGAGCGACCCUCAUAAGUAUGUGCGAAUGAGCACAAUGGCAUGCAAGCGAAUAAGUCCGUCUCAGGUCCCAGUGGUUCAUCACUGUUUCAUCGGAUCUAAAAUCCGGAAUACAGCACAUGUCCGAAAGGCCUGCCUCUAUGUCAUCGUGUCUAAAACACGGAAUAUAUUAACUGUCUCAAUGGCCUAUCUCAAUGUCAUCACGUCUAAAACAUGGAAUAUAGUAGAUUUCCAGUGGCCUAUCAUCGUGUCUCUAAGUUGCAGUUCAACAAUUUUCUAGUUCAAGUGCCCCUUUAUGACACUUUUACUCACUAAGUCAUAGCAUGACAAUAAUGUUCAAGAGUACAUGAUUCUCGUCAUUUUCCACAUAAGAGGCAUAUUUCCAAGUUGCAAUAAGGAAUCCGUAGCACAUGCAUGAAUACUACUCAUAAGGCUCUACUACAUAGAGUGAAGUUUUCAUGAUACAUAAUGCAUGUGUUUUAAGCGUUUCAAAUUUCAUAUAAAUUCCAUUUAACAUGAAUAUGCAUGUAUUUAUAGUAUACGAAAACAUUUAACCACAUAGGAGGCAUUUCCUCCCAUUUCAAUGAAGCCAAACCCACCAACGUCUUCGCGGCUUGUCGAAAACUCCGACGAAGGUGUCCACUAGCCUUCUAGCACCCUAGAGGUGUAGAAAUAAGAGUCACAUGAACCUUACGAACAACACUAAGCUCAAACAUUAAGCUAUUCAAGCUAAGGCGGAGAAAACUCACCGAAUGCUAAGAAAUCUCCCAUGAUCUCCAAAAGGGAGCUAGAGUCCCUCAAGUCCAACCUAAAUCAAAGUUCUAAACCAAUCAAUUUGGUUCUAGAAGCUACAAAUCCAAAAUCCCAAAUUCUAACCAUAAAAUCCAAAAUCUAGGGUUUCAUCAUGAGAAAUCCAUCGAACCAUGUAUUAAAUGGAAAAUACAUGUUACUAACCUCUUAAGUAGCCUCAAACCAAGUCCAAAAUCAGCUAGGGUUGAAGGUCUCCUCUCCAACAAGCUCCUCUCAAAGCUCCAAGUCUUCAACCAUGGAGAAAACCCAACAAAUAGCAAAGAGGAGAAGAAAGGAGAGAUCAAAACACCAUAAAAUCCACCAAAAAUGAAGAUCAAACAAGGGGAGGGAGACUCACCUUGAUCUCCACUGAACUAGGGCUCAAAACCCUAUCUAAGGGGGUUGGGGUCACUUAUAUAGGUGUUGCAAUAAUUACAAAAACACCCCUUCACGAAACAACCCAAACUGCAUUGUGUACUAGUACACGGGUUUGUUUACCGGUACACAUCUUGCGAACCAGCCCAACCGGUACACAAGCCCCGUACCGGUACAGCCAUCAGUGUGUACCGGUACAGCCAUCAACCCUAUACCGGUACACAGCCUUACUGAGGCUACCCGAGAGCUGACCAAAAAUUCGAUUUUUCGAAUUUUGGUGCUAAGUUUUAAACCUCAAUUCUCGGGACUCGAACCAUAGGUCGGAACACUGUCAACGACCCUCUACAAAAUGUGAGAAAGUUCAGAAUACGAAACAAACACUCGAACCUUGCAAUUUGUAAAGAUCCAGUGCGUUACAUUCACCCCUCCUAAAAAGGCGUUUGGUCCGCAAAACUCGAAAGCAACGUACCUCAAGAUUCCAUCUGAAAAAGAUGGAGAUAACGCUCUAGCAAGGCGCUCUCUAGCUCCCACGUAGCCUCUCGCUCCCCGUGGUUGCUCCAAAGGACCUUCACAUAUGGAAUAUCCCGAUUCCGCAACUUUUUCACCUCGCGAGCCAAAAUCUUCACUGGUUGCUCCUCGAAGCUUAAAUCCUCAUGCAGCUCCGCUGGUAUAGCCUCCAAAACGUGAGCUGGGUCAUGUAUGUAUUUCCGUAGGACCGAUACAUGAAAUACAUUGUGCACGCCCGAUAGAUUCGGCGGUAGGGCAAGUCGAUACGCUACCGGGCCUAUACGUUCCAAAAUCUCAUACGGUCCAAUGAAUCGGGGGCUCAACUUUCCCUGAAUCCCGAAUCUCUUGAUUCCUCUAGUCGGCGAGACCUUCAAGAAAACAUGGUCUCCAACUUGGAAUUCCAAGUCUCGCCGCCGUUGAUCAGCAUAGCUCCUCUGUCUACUCUGUGCCGUCAAAAGUCGCUCCCGAGCAAUUCGAACUUUGUCCUCAGCUUCCUGGAGCACAUCAGGGCCCAAAGCCAAUCUCUCGCCUACUUCACUGCAAUGAAGUGGCGAUCUACACUUCCGUCCAUAAAGUGCUUCGAAGGGCGCCAUCUUGAUGCUUGCUUUAUAACUAUUGUUAUAAGCAAACUCCGCCAUAGGUAGAUGCUGCGACCAUCCUCCCUGGAAGUCUAUCACACAUGCUCGGAGCAUAUUCUCUAAAGUCUGAAUGGUGCGCUCUGACUGCCCGUCACUCUGAGGGUGGAAAGCAGUGCUGAAGUCCAGUCGGGUGCCCAAGGCGUCCUGCAGACUCCUCCAAAAUUGAGACACAAACUGAGUGUCUCGAUCCGAUACUAUCGACGUAGGCACUCCGUGAAGUCGCACAAUCUCAUCAAGGUACACUUGUGCGAGCUUCUCUCCGGUCCAAGUAGUGUGGAUAGAUAUGAAGUGCGCCGACUUUGUCAACCUAUCCACGAUCACCCAAAUAGCAUCAUGCCCAGCCUGAGAGCGGGGCAAUCCAGUCACGAAAUCCAUAGUGAUCUUCUCCUACUUCCACACGGGAAUAGGCAAACUCUGAAGUUUUCUCGCGGGAAUUCGAUGCUCAGCCUUUACUUGUUGGCAAGUUAGACAACGAGCUACAAACUCGCCAACGUCCUUUUUCAUCCCGGGCCACCAAUAAAGCAACUUUAAAUCCUUAUACAUCUUGGUGCUUUCCGGAUGUAUAGCAUACGGUGCUCGGUGUGCUUUUUGAAGAAUAUCCUCUUUAAUUUCCGAAUCCGCCGGUACACAAAUCCAUCCACGAAAACGCAUCAAUCCUUGGUCAUCUACAAGGAAAUCGCCGGUGCAACCAUCAACCAUUUUACCUUUAAUCCUUUGCAACUCCGCAUCGGAAGCUUGCUUUUUUUUUAUUCUAUCCAACAAGGUAGGUUGCACCACCAACGUCAUCAACCUCAAGGGCGUGUCAGGAGUCACCACCUCCAACCUCAAUCGCUUCAACUGCUCGAUCAACUGCGGUUGAGUAACAAUAUGCAUCGCUAAGUUUUCCGUCGAUUUCCUACUUAGCGCAUCCGCCACCACGUUAGCCUUGCCCGGGUGGUAUAGGAUAGUCAGGUCGUAAUCCUUGAGCAGCUCCAACCAUCUGCGCUGUCUCAAAUUCAACUCCUUCUGAGUAAACAGAUACCUUAAGCUCUUGUGAUCCGUGUACACUUCACACCGCUCGCCAUAAAGAUAGUGGCGCCAUAGCUUCAAUGUGAAAACUACGGCCGCAAACUCCAAAUCAUGCGUCGGAUAGUUCUUUUCACAAUCCUUCAACUAGCGAGAAGCAUACGCGAUCACCUUGCCAUCCUGCAUCAACACACAAUCCAAUCCAUUAAGUGAAGCAUCACUAUAAACCACAUACCCCGCUCAAGCAACCGGCAGGGUUAGGAUCGGGGCGGUCGUCAAUCUUUGAUUCAACUCUUGGAAGCUCUUUUCACACGCGUCGUUCCAAAUAAACUUGACUCCUUUAUGCGUGAACCUCGUGAGGCGAGUAGAUAGCUUAGCAAACCCCUCUACAAAUCUCCGGUAGUAGUCGGCUAACCCAAGGAAGCUCCGUAUCUCUGUGACGCUCGUCGGUCUCGGCCAAUCCUUGAUUGCCUUAAUCUUCUUCGAAUCCACGGCUAUACCCGCUCCCGAUAUUAAAUGUCCAAGGAAGGCGACCUCUCGAAGCCAAAAUUCACACUUUUUCAGCUUCGCAUAAAGCUCCUUUUCCCGAAUUACUUGAAGUACAAGCCUCAAAUGCUCCUCGUGAUCUGCAUCACUUCGCGAAUAGACCAAAAUGUCGUCGAUGAAUACCACGACGAACCUGUCUAGAUAGGGCUUAAAAAUACGGUUCAUUAGAUCCAUAAAAGCUGCCGAGGCAUUAGUAAGCCCAAACAGCAUAACAGUGAACUCAUAAUGUCCAUAUCGUGUUCUAAAAGCCGUCUUCGAAACAUCCUUGGGUUUGAUUUUUAACUGGUGGUAUCCCGACUGCAAGUCUAUCUUGGAAUACACAAACGAUCCCUGAAGCUGAUCAAACAAAUCGUCGAUCCUCGGCAACGGAUACUUAUUCUUGAUCGUGACUUUAUUAAGUUCACGAUAGUCCACGCAUAGGCGAAGUGAUCCGUCCUUUUUCUUGACGAACAAAACUGGUGCUCCCCAAGGCAAGACGCUCGGUCGAAUGAAGCCUUUAUCCAGAAGAUCCUGCAGCUGUGCCCUCAGCUCCUUUAGCUCCGUCGGUGCCAUCCUAUAGGGUACUUUCGAGAUUGGAGCAGUCCUAGGGACGAGAUCUACCACAAACUCGAUCUCCCUAUCGGGUGGCAUACCCGGUAGCUUGGCUGAAAACACGUCACAAAACUCCCGCACCACCGGGAUAUCCUCAAUCCUAGGGGCAUCACCCUCGCCCCUCAACACAACACUAGCCAAGUAGGCUACACUACCUCUGCUGAUCAGUUGCCUAGCUCGAGACGAGCUGAUCGUCAUCGCAAAAAGCGAACUCUGGCAUCAUCUAAAUAUCACCUCAACUUGCCCCGGUUCUCUAAAAGUAACCGUGCAAUUUUUGCAAUCAAUCGUGGCAUAAUACUUGGUUAGCCAAUCCAUACCCAAAACCACAUUGAACUCCCCUAGCUUGCGCAAGGCUAGUAAGUACACGGGCAUGAUCUAAUCCCCAACCCGAAUGGUGCAACUGGGGUGGUACUCCCUCAUAUCCAAAAUGUGGUCGGGUACUACAACCUGUCCUGAAUGCAACAAAGAAACCAACUCGAUGCCAUGUAACUCGGCGAACAACCGAUCUAUGAAUGAAUGUGAUGCACCGGUAUCAAAUAAUGCACGAACUCUAAUGCCAUCAAGUAAAAUGAUACCUGCGACCACAUCCUCGACUGCUGCCGCCUCCUCGGUCUGAGCGGCAUACAUACGCCCACUCGGGGCCUGUCGAGAACCCUCGCUCUGGCGCUGGACAGGUGGCCGCCCAGGCUGGUACUUCGCCGAUGGAGUCCCCUGGCUGGCGGCUGGUAGAGCCGGUGCCGAUGCAGUCGAUGGUGUCGGUGACGAUCUCCUCAGGCACUCAGUCCGGAAGUGGCCCUCCUGGCCACACAAGUAGCACCUGCCUCCCCGCUGUGGACAUUGCGGUGGAGUGUGAGGACCACCACAGAUCACGUUGUCACGCCCCGGGGCUCAGCGGAAGCCUACCCGGCGCGUGUCCAGACCCGCCAUACGUCUAAAACAUAUAAGGCGUCUACAAAAAAAUUUCGAUAGAUAAAACAAUAAUACAAGAGAUCUAGUGAUAUCAGAGCAUUAUAUAACUAGUUCUAUAACAAGGAAAGGACAUAAAGCUGAAAGUCCACUAAAUAAAAAUAUAAAGUAAGUACAAUAGGGAUCCCAUAACAAGUGCUAAAAGGAGUACAAGGUGGUCUCUCUAUACAUGGUACAAAACCUCUCCAUCUCUCUCAAAAUAUAAAAUGGAGGAGUAACCACCUAGCGCAAAAGGACUCUCCGCGAGCUAGCUACGCGACACCCUUGCAGCGAUCCCGUGCCUCCGUCGGUGCCGAAGGCUCUGAAAAGGAAACAUAGAAACAGGGGCGUGAGAACUAUUAAAUAAUAGUUCCCAGUGGGCAAUUACUGACUUCAGUGAAAUGCACCACUAGGCCCGAAACUAUAAAAAAAGGGUCAGUGUACAUUAUAACAAAAGCGAUAAAUGCACUGUAAGUAAAUAAAUAAACGAGUACCCAAUAAUCAUGAUACCUCUACUUAGCAUAAUUUACAUAUGUAAGGAAGCAACUACUAGCUAUAUGCACAUGAACACCCAACAUAUAAAGCAUGAUUAUGCAACUACCCAAAGUUCCCAAUGUAAUAGUAAAGAUGUCAUUGUUUACUAUUCUAGUCCAAGUCCACUUUAACAGUUAUAAAGUUCACAUAGCAUGUUCUGUCACCAAGUCCCAAUCAUAUAAGACCCACCCGAAGGCUGUCUGGCCUGCGCCGUGCCUAAUGGCCCCGUGGUAGUCAACAUCCCCACUCUAGGAAUGAGCCUCCCCCACGGCAAUCCACUUCGGCGCCCAAUCCCGCACGGGCGAGCAUAUGUCGCGAUGGCUAUCUCCGGAGUGCCGGCUUGUAGGGAGCGACCCUCACAAGCAUGUGCGAAUGAGCACAAUGGCAAGCAAGCAAUGAUCCGUCUCAAGAAUCAAGUCCUUAUGUCCAACAAUAUGGAAUAUGUCAAGUAUCUCAAUGGCCUAUGAUCAUGUCUCUAACAUGGAAUAUAGCAGAUACGUAGUGGCCUAUCAAUAUGUCUCUAUGUUGCAGUUUAAUAGUUUACUAGUUUCAAAUGCCCCUUGAUGACACUCUUGUUUUCUAUGUCAAAUCAUGGCAACAAUGUUCCAAAGUACAUAUUCCAAGUCAUAAUCCUCAUAAGAGAUGUAUUUUCCACUUGCAAAAAUAAACACUUUUCCCAUAUGCAUGCAUUCAACUCAUAUAGCUCUACUAUAUAGUGAAAUUUUUAUUAUACACAAGGCAUGCAUUUUAAGUGUUCUAAAAUUCAUAUAAAUUCCAUUUAGCAUAGAAAUAAAUUUAAAAAUAUUUUACAACAAGUAGAAAGAGCAUAGGGGUCAUUUCGCCCAAUUUCCACGAAGCCAAACCCACCGAUGACGACGAAACUCCUCGUUCGCUCCAACGAGGGUGUCCUCUAGUCUCCUAAUACCCUAAGGAUGUGAAACGAAGAGUUACAAUCAUCGGGUGAAUAACUCCUAGGUUAAACAUUAACGAAUACAAGAAAAGGGGCAAAACUCACCUUGUGAGGUGAUAUCUUCUCUCAAUCUCCUAAUGAGAGUGAAAACCCUUCAAAUCCAACCUAAUGGAAGCCUCUAAUCCACUCAAUCUAGCUUCAAAAGCCCUAGAUUCAAAAUGCCCAAUUUAAGCCCUAAAACCUCAUUCUAGGGUUUCAUCACAAAGAGGCCAAUAAAAAUCUAAUUUAGAGGAAGAGGAUGAGCUACUAACCUUUAAGAAGUUUCAAACAAUGAUCAAAAUCCUCCAAGAGUGGAGAUCUCCCUCACCCCAAGCUCCAAGAUCAAGCUCCAAUGGUGGAAAAGCUUCCAACAAGCAAAGAAGCAAAAAGGAGGGUUUAAUCCACCAAAAUCCAAGCUAAAAAGGGAUGAAAUCCAAAGAGAUGGUGAGGAGGGGUGCCCUACCUUCUCCUCCCUGUGAUCUGAGCUCAAGAGGUGCCCUAAGGGGCGUGGGUGCUAAAUAGAUUAGACACAAACGCGAAAAACCCCCUGCAGUUCGGACUGCACGAAAACUGCCUCCUUGUACCGGUACACGGGCUCUUGUACCGGUACAAGGCCCACGAAAAUGCAAACCCGAGGCUCGGGUCGCGGGGUCUGCGGCUCUGUACCGGUACAAGCCCGAUGGCUGUACCGGUACAACCAUCAACCUUGUACCGGUACAAGAUGAGUCUUGUUCCGGUACAAGCUCUGCUGCAGGCUACCCGAGAGCUGACAAAAAAUUUCGGUUUUGGGAUUUUGGUGCCAAGUCUCACUCCAACAUCCUCGGGAUGCGUGCCAGGGGUCGGAACACUAACAACGACCCUCCAAAAACUGUGGAAAGGCUCCCCACACAGAUCAAACACUCGAAUCUUGCGAUUUGCAAGAUCCACCGCAUUACACACGCACUGGGGAGGUCGGCGUCGAUCAGGACCUCCUCGCUGCGCUGCCGGGCCGCGCCCACGCUGCUGGCUCCUAGGGUGUUUCGACGGCCUCCUAGAGUGCGUCUCGCUCGCAGCCUCCGCCGCAGGCCUCUUGGCCUUACCCCUGUCAAAGCCCUCUCGCCGCUCCUGCAUCUCUGCAGCGCCGCUCUCCACGAUGAGCGCGCGAUCCACCAACUCCCGGUAGGUUUGGAGGUUUGAGGAUUGCACGAACCGGAAAAUCGACGGUCGCAACCUCGCUCGAAGAUGCCGGCCUUGUCCUCGUCGUCCCGCACGACGAAAGGUACGCAGUGAAGAAGCUGAGAAAACUCUCUCUCGUACUCGGCCACAGUGCGGUCUCCCUGGCGCAAGUUGCACAGAUCCUGCUCCAUAUUCCUCUUGACGCUGGUCGGGAAGUAGUGCGCCAGUAGAAGCUCCUUGAACCUCUUCCAAUUAAUAGUUGCCAAGUCGGUGCUGGGGUUUUCCUGAAGAUCCAACCACCAGCGAUAGGCCUCGCCGUCCAGAUGGUGAGUGGCGAGCCAAACUCGAUCUCUCUCCUCCACGAAGGUGUCGCGGAAGAGCUUCUCCAUAUGCAUCAACCACUUUUCCACGAUCCAGUGGUCGACCUUCUCGCUGUCAAAGACCUGGGCAUUGCACCUCCUGAACUCGUUGAGGCGCUCCAUCAGUCGGUCCCGCUCCGCCCCCUCAACUAACACGGGAAAAACAGCUUCAAUCAGGGGUGCCUGAAUAGGUGGCGCCGCCAAAGCCUCCUCCUGAGGCGCGGCCACGGGCGCCGCACGCGACGAACUGGACGCAGGGGACGGCGCUCUCGGCGCGACAUCCACAACUGGUGUUGGCGGUGUAGGGGCCUGGAUCUCCCUAGAAGCUGCCGCCUGCUGUAGAAGAAGGUCCUCCAGGUGCUUCAUCCGCGCCUUCUGUCGGCGCGCCGCAUCGGCCUGCUGUUGGGCCGCCGCUGCCUGCUGAGCCACGAGAUCAGUAAGAGUAGCAAGCUAGCUCCUCAACUCGCGGACCUCGCCGGAUCCGGAGGUAGCGGAGGUCUCGACCUCCUCCAAGUUUGCCGCAUUAUCCGCCCCGGCAGAUUGAGAGCGUGUAAUCGGCAAGUCACUACAACAUCAUAAAAGCGUAAGUUAGUAAAACCCACACUAUCGCAUCCC
rnacentral:lncRNA from 1 species